ACUUUCGGUUUGCUUAGAUUCUUAUACGACCUGAAAGCAGAUUUCGAAUUGAUUUUACGUAUGUUUCUGUGUGUUUGACCUAAAACGAAAGAGUUACACACGGGAAUUAUUAAUUACUUUUUAUGUAUUUGUCAAAAGUGGUGUAAAUAAGCAAAUACGAAUUAAUGCAAUUUAUUUACAUACUGAACGAAAACUGGACUCGCUAAAUUAUUUUAACAUCUUAAAACUUAUAAACACAUACCCAUUUCGUUUGAUAACGCAGUGGUCGAUAAGAUAUGCAUUUUCAGCUGCUGGCAGUUACUCAUCGGACGUAUAGCUGUGAACACUUAUGUCUAUUUUAUUAACAGAAUGUGCACCGCAUUUAAAUGUUCUGUUUACAUAGCUGUAUACUGUGUAUACCUUCUUGGAUUGAGUGCUGAAGAAGGGCAUCUACUGCGACGUCAUUAAGAACUGUACGAUACAAGGAGAAUGCCCGGAUCACUCCAUAUGCACAAAGGUUGUCGACAAUUUCGGUUGCAUCUGCUGGCAGGGGUAUCAUCUGAAUCCCGACUGGUCUCCUAGCGACCUUGACAAUACCGACUGGGAUUAUUGUGUCCGUGAGCCGGCAAAUAAGACUGUUAUCAUCCACAAUCGCCUGCCAGCAAAGAGCGAACACCUGGCUGUCGCCAUUCUGCUGGUUUUAUUUGGGGUAAUUGUUGUGACCCUGGUACUUUACUGUUUCGUUGCACUCCGUCCGAUUAGCCGGACUCGUGCUGCUUACCGCCGUAUGCAAUUGAGACGUUCCAAUCAUCGCCGGCUUCAGGAGUUCGAUGAUAUUGACAUGACUUUUCGCGACACACAUACCGCGGAAGCAUUGUCUUGAUUAAAUAAAGUUAACGAUAAUGUAUCGAGUGAAAGACUGCACUGCAA